rnacentral:rRNA from 1 species
UACGUAGGGGGCAAGCGUUUGUCCGGAAUCAUUGGGCGUAAAGAGCGUGUAGGCGGCUCGGUAAGUCCGCUCUGAAAGCCCGGGGGCUCAACCCCGGGAGGCGGGCGGAUACUGUCGGGCUAGAGUCCGGAAGAGGCGAGUGGAAUUCCUGGUGUAGCGGUGAAAAUGCGCAGAUAUCAGGAGGAACACCAAUGGCGAAGGCAGCUCGCUGGGACGGUACUGACGCUGAGACGCGAAAGCGUGGGGAGCAAACAGG